GACGAACGCUGGCGGCGUGGAUAAGACAUGCAAGUCGAACGGGACAGACCGAGUAGCAAUAUUUGGAAUGUUCAGUGGCGAACGGGUGCGUAACACGUGGAUAACAUUCCGGAAAGCGGGGAAUAGCCCAGGGAAACUUGGAUUAAUACCGCAUGUGGCCGCAAGGCUAAAGACGGGGACCGCAAGGCCUGUCACUUUCCGAUUGGUCCGCGGCCUAUCAGCUAGUUGGCGGGGUAAUGGCCCACCAAGGCUACGACGGGUAGCUGGUCUUAGAGGACGACCAGCCACACUGGAACUGAGACACGGUCCAGACACCUACGGGUGGCAGCAGUCGAGAAUCUUUCACAAUGGGGGCAACCCUGAUGGAGCGACGCCGCGUGGAGGAUAAGGUCUUCGGAUUGUAAACUCCUGCCAUGCGAGAACAAGGUACUCAGGCUAAUAACCUGAUUGUUUGAUGGUACCGCAAGAGGAAGAGACGGCUAACUCUGUGCCAGCCGCCGCAGUAAGAC
rnacentral:rRNA from 1 species